rnacentral:rRNA from 1 species
CAUUAGAUACCCCUGUAGUCCCAGCCGUAAACUAUGCGCGUUAGGUGUAUCGGUGACCACGAGUUACCGAGGUGCCGAAGGGAAACCGUGAAACGUGCCGCCUGGGAAGUACGGUCGCAAGGCUGAAACUUAAAGGAAUUGGCGGGGAGCACCACAACAGGUGGAGCCUGCGGUUUAAUUGGACUCAACGCCGGGAAGCUCACCGGAUAGGACAGCAGAAUGAUUGCCGGGCUGAAGACCCUGCAUGACUAGCUG